AUUGAACGCUGGCGGCAGGCUUAACACAUGCAAGUCGAACGAGUGGCGGACGGGUGCGUAAUGCUUGGGCAUCUAGCUUAUGGAGGGGGAUAAAUACGGGAAACUGUAGCUAAUACCGCAUACCCUAGGAUGAGCCCAAGUGGGCUUGGGGAGUUGGUGAGGUAAAGGCUCACCAAGCCGACGAUCUCUAGCUGGGCUGAGAGGAUGACCAGCCACACGGUGACUGAGACACGGCCCAGACUCCUACGGGAGGCAGCAGUGGGGAAUAUUGCGCAAUGGGGGCAACCUGACGCAGCCAUGCCGCGUGAAUGAAGAAGGCCUUCGGGUUGUAAAGUUCUUUCGGUAGCGAGGCGUUAACUACAGAAGAAGCACCGGCUAACUCCGUGCCAGCAGCCGCGGUAAUAC
rnacentral:rRNA from 1 species